GUCGAGCGGAAUGACGAGAGCUUGCUCUCUGAUUUUAGCGGCGGACGGGUGAGUAACACGUGGGCAACCUGCCCUACAGAUGGGGAUAACUCCGGGAAACCGGGGCUAAUACCGAAUAAUCAGUUUGUCCGCAUGGACAAACUCUGAAAGACGGUUUCGGCUGUCACUGUAGGAUGGGCCCGCGGCGCAUUAGCUAGUUGGUGGGGUAAUGGCCUACCAAGGCAACGAUGCGUAGCCGACCUGAGAGGGUGAUCGGCCACACUGGGACUGAGACACGGCCCAGACUCCUACGGGAGGCAGCAGUAGGGAAUCUUCCACAAUGGACGAAAGUCUGAUGGAGCAAUGCCGCGUGAGCGAAGAAGGUUUUCGGAUCGUAAAGCUCUGUUGUAAGGGAAGAACACGUACGGGAGUAACUGCCCGUGCCAUGACGGUACCUUAUUAGAAAGCCACGGCUAACUACGUGCCAGCAGCCGCGGUAAUACGUAGGUGGCAAGCGUUGUCCGGAAUUAUUGGGCGUAAAGCGCGCGCAGGCGGUUCUUUAAGUCUGAUGUGAAAGCCCACGGCUCAACCGUGGAGGGUCAUUGGAAACUGGAGAACUUGAGUACAGAAGAGGAAAGCGGAAUUCCACGUGUAGCGGUGAAAUGCGUAGAGAUGUGGAGGAACACCAGUGGCGAA
rnacentral:rRNA from 1 species